rnacentral:rRNA from 1 species
ACGUACACUCCUACGGGAGGCAGCAGUGGGGAAUAUCGCACAAUGGGCGCAAGCCUGAUGCAGCCAUGCCGCGUGUAUGAAGAAGGCCUUCGGGUUGUAAAGUACUUUCAGCGGGGAGGAAGGCGAUAAGGUUAAUAACCUUGUCGAUUGACGUUACCCGCAGAAGAAGCACCGGCUAACUCCGUGCCAGCAGCCGCGGUAAUACGGAGGGUGCAAGCGUUAAUCGGAAUUACUGGGCGUAAAGCGCACGCAGGCGGUCUGUCAAGUCGGAUGUGAAAUCCCCGGGCUCAACCUGGGAACUGCAUUCGAAACUGGCAGGCUAGAGUCUUGUAGAGGGGGGUAGAAUUCCAGGUGUAGCGGUGAAAUGCGUAGAGAUCUGGAGGAAUACCGGUGGCGAAGGCGGCCCCCUGGACAAAGACUGACGCUCAGGUGCGAAAGCGUGGGGAGCAAACAGGAUUAGAAACCCUGGUAGUCCCAUGA